AAUUAAAUGUACCUUACAAUUAAAUGUACUUUCAAAAUGACUGCAGGUCUGAAGAUGUGAACCAAAUUAUCUAGAAGAUAACGAACUUGCCUAGUUUUGCUCUUGUACAACAUCCAUUAUUUUUGGAAUUCUCAGCAUUGGCAACAUAGAUACAAGCUUCUCAAAAUCAGAGACUUUCUGAAUCUCCAACACCUGGCAAAAGUACUUAGGACAGAAGAGAUAUUCAAUAAAUCCUGUUGAACUAACCUGACCUACUCAGUGAAACAUUUUACUGGGAGAGAUGACUUGCCAACAAACAAUUGAAAUAUAGUGAGUUUCCAUCUACUAAAGAAUCGAACUAUGCUGCAACUCAGAGGAAAAGCAUCCUGUAUUUGGCAGAUCUGCUUAUUGUAUCGCUUCUGCUAAUUCACAGUGAAAAACACAACAUUUUUAACAAAAUAGGAAAUGCAGAAGUGAAGACUAUUUUAAAGCAAACAAUUUAAAAUAAGGUGGAAUAUUCACUU